GCCCGCCUAGCUCAGUUGGUAGAGCGCAAGGCUCUUAGUGAGACGCAAGCAGCCGAAUCAGGCUGGUGUCACCUUGUGGUCCGGGGUUCGAGCCCCCGGGUGGGCG
rnacentral:tRNA from 1 species